rnacentral:lncRNA from 1 species
ACAACAAGCCUGAGGAACACGUUCUGCAAACCCCGAAAUUCUAUUUCCAGCCUCCAAUACAGACAUUUACAAGCAAUUCUGCCAGUAACCAGCAGUAAUUUUAGUGCAAAGUUUGUUUCCAAGCUCUUGAAAGCACCUACUCUGUGUAAAGCACUGGGAAUAGCAACUACCAUCUUUACCCUGUCUGCAGCAAUUACAUUUUUCCUCCCCUUGAAGCUCAAAAAAUCGAGGCACAGACUGGAUGAAAAAACUGCUGAGCUGCUGAAAUUGCCAGGAAAGCCCAGGGUGUGCUAUCCAGAAGAGGUGGAGUCUAUAACAAAUCCAGGUGGAAUCUUCACCCAGAUGAAGAGAGAAUAACAAAAAUUCCCUCCACAGGCAGGGUUUGG